GAGAAGCCAGCACAUCCAAACACCUUCACAGGCAUGUCAGAGGUUUUCUGCCCUGGCCAACCCCCUCACAGACUCUCUGCACUUCUGCCCCAUUGGAGUGCUCUCCACCUGGCAACAUUUUCCUGCACCAGUCACCUUGAAGGCUCUCUCUUAGUGGCAGACAGAUGCCCCUGCCAGGUGAGGAAACCAGAGCUCACACACCCAGGAGGUGGACAAGCCUGGACUCAAGGCCUUGCAUUUCCUGCUACACCAACCGUGUCUGUUUUAACAGACAGAAGAAUGCUGAGCUUAAUAAAACACACACACAACAGUUCAUGCUCAUAUCAUAAUCCUGUAUGUGUAAAUUUCCCAAUGGGAGAAGCAAAACAAAUCCUUGCUCAUCGAAACCAAGAAUAAUGUCAAAAAAUGGCAUGUGUUUAUCUAAUUUACUUGCAUGAAAUGGGGCCUUCUAGGAUGCAUGAAGAGUUGGUGAUACACCGUUGGUUAGCGUGUUGGGGCUCAAAAUAUUACUGUAUUACUAUUGUUAUUAGUUAGAAUAUUUAAUAGCCACCAGUCUGUAGAAACAGUAGGAUUUCUAUGGUUUGUUCUCUACUUGGAGUUCAAAUGAAGUUUAAAAAUGCCCAGCUCCAGUGAGAAUAUGAAAUUAACUGAGUUUUAAGAGGCAUUCUCAAGGCCACAGUGAAGAGCAGUGAUGGGGGUGAGGUAGGCUAAUUGCCCAGCUUCUUGUCUGUGAUCAGAGAGGCUACUGCUGCUGUAUUGAGCUCUUCAGAGAAGCUGACACCACAAGGAAGGUGGCCAGUAUCCCUCCUGGGGCUAAAGCCCUGAACCCCACAUCCUCACCAGCAUUUGGUAUUGUCAUUUUUAAAACUUUUAGUUAUUCUAGUGUGCAAUGAUACCCAAGAUUGCUUCUUUUAUCAUUUCUUUGUGCUCAGAGAACUUCC